GAUGAACGCUGGCGGCGUGCCUAAUACAUGCAAGUCGAGCGAACAGACGAGGAGCUUGCUCCUCUGACGUUAGCGGCGGACGGGUGAGUAACACGUGGAUAACCUACCUAUAAGACUGGGAUAACUUCGGGAAACCGGAGCUAAUACCGGAUAAUAUAUUGAACCGCAUGGUUCAAUAGUGAAAGACGGUUUUGCUGUCACUUAUAGAUGGAUCCGCGCCGCAUUAGCUAGUUGGUAAGGUAACGGCUUACCAAGGCAACGAUGCGUAGCCGACCUGAGAGGGUGAUCGGCCACACUGGAACUGAGCCACGGUCCAGGCUCCUACGGGAGGCAGCAGUAGGGAAUCUUCCGCAAUGGGCGAAAGCCUGACGGAGCAACGCCGCGUGAGUGAUGAAGGUCUUCGGAUCGUAAAACUCUGUUAUUAGGGAAGAACAAAUGUGUAAGUAACUAUGCACGUCUUGACGGUACCUAAUCAGAAAGCCACGGCUAACUACGUG
rnacentral:rRNA from 1 species